CAUUACCCAUGCCCUGUGAAUGGCCAGUUGUUGGUUGGGGAGCAGGAGGCGGCACUGCACUGUAGUAAGAUGAAUAACCCAAAGAAGUUGUGUACGCAGGUUGAGCACCAGACUGCCCAUACACAUUUGAUGUUGCAGGCGGAGCAGAUGUGCUGUUUUCAGAUGGCACCCCUGGUGGGUAGCUUUGUUGAGCCUCACUAGGCGUCACAGUCUGAGUUGGUGCACCUGGGGGAACUGG
rnacentral:lncRNA from 1 species